rnacentral:rRNA from 1 species
UGAGUAACCUGCCCCUGACUCUGGGAUAAGCCCGGGAAACUGGGUCUAAUACCGGAUAUGACACCUCCUGGCAUCGGGUGGGUGUGGAAAGUUUUUCGGUUGGGGAUGGACUCGCGGCCUAUCAGCUUGUUGGUCGGGUAAUGGCCUACCAAGGCGACGACGGGUAGCCGGCCUGAGAGGGCGACCGGCCACACUGGGACUGAGACACGGCCCAGACUCCUACGGGAGGCAG